rnacentral:rRNA from 1 species
GAUAAACGCUAGCGGCAGGCUUAACACAUGCAAGUCGAGGGGCAGCAUAGAUUGUAGCAAUACAAUUGGUGGCGACCGGCGCACGGGUGCGUAACGCGUAUGCAACCUACCCGUCACAGGGGGAUAAUCCGGAGAAAUCUGGUCUAAUACCCCAUAACAUAUGGAUCGGCAUCGGUUCAUGUUGAAAUUUUCGGAGGUGACGGAUGGGCAUGCGUAGCAUUAGCUUGUUGGUGAGGUAACGGCUCACCAAGGCGACGAUGCUUAGGGGGACUGAGAUGUUUUCCCCCCACACUGGUACUGAGACACGGACCAGACUCCUACGGGAGGCAGCAGUGAGGAAUAUUGGUCAAUGGGCGCAAGCCUGAACCAGCCAUGCCGCGUGCAGGAUGGCGGCUCUAUGAGUUGUAAACUGCUUUUGUACGAGGGUAAAGUGGGUUACGUGUAACCUUUUGAAAGUAUCGUACGAAUAAGGAUCGGCUAACUCCGUGCCAGCCGCCGCAGUAA